rnacentral:rRNA from 1 species
GGUGAACGCUAGCGGCAGGCCUAAUACAUGCAAGACGAACGGUAAGUUGAGUAGCAAUACUUGACCUAGAGCGUCGUACGGGCGCGUAACACGUAUGCAACCUACUCAUAACAGGAGGAUAGCUCCCCGAGAGGGGAAUUAACCCUCCAUCGUAAUAUUGACUGGCAUCAUUUGGUAUCUAAACCUCCGGCUGUUAUGGAUGGGCAUGCGUCUGAUUAGUUAGUUGGCGGGGUAACGGCCCACCAAUGCGAUGAUCAGUAGGGGAACUGAGAGGUUGAUCCCCCACACUGGCACUGAGAUACGGGCCAGACUGCUACGGGAGGCAGCAGUAGGGAAUAUUGGGCAAUGGAUGGAAGUCUGAACCAGCCAUGCCGCGUGCAGGAAGAAGGCCUUAUGGGUUGUAAACUGCUUUUGCCAGGGGAUAAAAUAGCUGUGCGCAGCGAAUUGCAGGUACCUGGGGAAUAAGCCACGGCUAACUUCGUGCCAGCCGCCGCCGUAACAC